rnacentral:rRNA from 1 species
AUGUUGCAUCUGAUGGCCGGCGAGGAGCCGACCACAUUUGUUGAAGCAGAGCGUGAGGAUUGCUGGCAUCGCAUGAUGCUAGAUGAGCUGUCGUCGAUCGAUGACAACGCUACUUGGACACUCACCACGCUGCCCGCAGGGCAUCGAGCUAUUGGGCUCAAGUGGGUGUUCAAGGUAAAGAAGGACGAGCACGGCGCCAUUGUCAAGCAAGAGGCCCGGCUCAUUGCAAAAGGGUAUGCGCGACGCACAGGGGUGGACUUCCAGGAAGUCUUUGCUCCCGUAGCAAGGCUCGAGUCUGUUCGACUUAUCCUGGCCCUGGGAAGUUCACCACAUGGAGGUCAAGGCGGCGUUCCUCAAUGGCGACCUUGA